ACGGAAGGCAGCAGUGGGGAAUAUUGCACAAUGGGGGAAACCCUGAUGCAGCGACGCCGCGUGAGUGAAGAAGGAUUUCGGUAUGUAAAGCUCUAUCAGCAGGGAAGAUAAUGACAGUACCUGACUAAGAAGCACCGGCUAAAUACGUGCCAGAAGCCGCGGUAAUACGUAGGGGGCAAGCGUUAUCCGGAUUUACUGGGUGUAAAGGGAGCGUAGACGGUAGUGCAAGUCUGAAGUGAAAGCUCGCAGCUUAACUGCGGAACUGCUUUGGAAACUGUACACCUAGAGUACCGGAGGGGUAAGCGGAAUUCCUAGUGUAGCGGUGAAAUGCGUAGAUAUUAGGAAGAACACCGGUGGCGAAGGCGGCUUACUGGACGGUAACUGACGUUGAGGCUCGAAAGCGUGGGGAGCAAACAGGAUUAGAUACCCUGGUA
rnacentral:rRNA from 1 species